rnacentral:misc_RNA from 1 species
GAAUUUUUUUUACAUAGUUUUCAUAUUGUCUACGAGAUUUAGUCAUUAGUUUGAAACAUCAUUUUGUAUCGAAAUUAAUUUGAGUAGUUCUCCUUAAAGUUUCAUCUGUCAUGUCUACAUUAUUACCACUCAAUGGCCGACAUCUCUGAUCAUAUUUCCUGCCGUAAUUAACAAGUACAUGCUAAUUACUUGCAACCAAUUAGGCCGUGUCAAAAUUAUUCCCAGUUUGUCCGUAUCAGUAAUUAGAUCAUGUAGAUGAACAAUAAAUGCCGUAUACAAUCUAUUGAUUAUUGAGUAAACGUUUGUAUUAUAAGUUAUUGGUGCUUUUCCACCCCUGGGGAUUGACCAGCAUUGGCCGUCAUCUCAACACCUCUCGAAGGUGUGAAAGGUGUUAAAAGGUUUUGAGAUUGUCAACAUUUUAGUCUAAAGGUCUUUAUUAUCUACUGUGUGCUUGAACUGUUGACUUUCUUUUUGGAUAGAUCUCGGAUACGCAAACUUGACAGGACAAUAAUGCACGGCUGGGAAAGACUUUCAAACCUAUGUGGUAUGGGAUGCAAGGUACUGUGGACGUCGUGGUCACAUGACGACAAGGCGUAUGAUUCUGUCAACAAGGACGACACUGAAGCUCUUGAUGCGCAGGAACCAGUGACGUCAGAGCCACAGAAACCUAUCUGGUCAGACAUUAAAGCGCCUAUUGUCAGAAACAAAUCAGGAAGUGUUGGUAAUAUCAAGACUGGUUCUAGUACUGGAUAUGAAAGACUCUCCGCUAACGGACUUAGGCAGAGUGCCAGUCUGGCGAAACUUAACGAAAAAAGAAACAGUAAAUCAGAUUUGUCAGGCAGUGUCCCGGUAUUAAGCAAAACUUUACUGAAAGAAGAGAAGAGUUUGAACAGCAGUAGACCUAGUCUAGCAGAGGAAGUUUUAGAGGUGCAUGAACUGGUGACGACAGUCUGAAGAAAUUUUACACGUGAUUCGAAAUGUCGUCUGUGAUUAAAGGAGCCUUUUAUCAAAAGUUCCAGUCGAGAUAUUGACUUGGAAUUUGUUAAUAUUACUCGGUUUAAAGUGAUAUAUUAUUACAAAGACAGUGCUUUUUAUGGUGCUCCUUAAACGAGAAAUUGCUGCCAAGUACGGAAAAGAGAUUGCUUUCUGUCUGACAAAGUGUCGCGUGUAAAUUAAUUAUGCAUGUUUACUAACUAGUGAAAUUUACGAACUUUUUGUUACUUUGUCUUCUUGGAGAGCAACGAACGUUUCAUAUAGACCUAGCUGGUCUAAAUCUUGGGAGCAUUUUUGUAGAUAAAUGCUAGAUAGACAGAAAGUUUGAACGAACAGCGAUUGUUAAUAUUCUCUGCGUGUUGGAAUUGAUUUUUCUUCACAUCCCAUUAUUGUCAUGGAAAUACAAUAUAUUUGCCAAAAUGAUCAAGCAUGCAUGUGCAAUAUUUUUGUUAAUAUGCUGUAAAUAAGUUAAUGUAAAUAUAUGUGCACGUAAGUUAUAGGGGUCAAGGCUGUCGGCGCAAUUCGUUUCCCCGAAAAUAACAGUGUUCCUCAUUCCGCUUGUUUAAAUAAUAAACUGUGUAUUUUUCUUUUACUGUUUAUAUGUCCUUAAUUUGUUUUAAUUCCAUUUUAAAAUUGAUUUUAUUUCAAAUUGUAUUUUAAUUUGUUUUAUACAAUUUUACCCUUUAAACGUACAAUGUUUAAUAAUGAUAAAAUGCGGCGCGACGUUAAUGUUAAAACAAACCAAGACAAAAUCAAAUAACAUUUAUGCACUUAACGCUUUCUUCUCAUUUGGAAUUAGUCUACAGGCUCCAUCUCUAUGAAACAUGAUGCGCUGACAGUCUGAUUCUUAAAGUACAAUUUUCCCAUAUUGAUUUUAAGAGUUGGUCAUUCGGCAAUAAUAUUAUACGGAACAUAUCUGUGACUGACGUUUACAUAAUUACACUGCUAAUGUCUAAAGGCACUCCUCUUCUUUGUGAUUUUUCCAGUAGUAAGAGACUUUUCCGAAGACCAAUAAGAUGUACAGUUAUAUGUCAUCAAUAGAAAGCCGUGAUGAAUAAUGCAUACGUUUGUUUUAUUAGCCUAAUUUGUUUCAUCUUUGCAACAUAUGUUACAAGUUAUGAUUUACAUUAACUUUAUUCUUACUUGUGUAUACUUUUUUACAAUCACAAAAUAUUAUUCCAAAUUUAUAUAUCGAAAAGAUGCUGGAAAACUCUCCUGCGACAAAUGAUGCUAUUACUUUAAAGUUUUUUUCAAACAUCUUGGUUACAGUUUUGAUGCUCUUUUACUUUAUUUCGGUUAUUACUUAAAGUGACACUACUGCAAACUUAAAAUAGUUGUUUCUCAAGAUUGUCCAUGGAUCAUUACGCUCACAUCAAUAUUUUAAGAAUUAUGUCCCCUCUUUACCAAGGUUUUCUUUUGAUGUACUUUAACUCUUUCUUUGUUUUAACGACUAUGUUCACAUUGUUCCACAUCAUCACUCAUGUCAUUUGAAGUAAUACUCAUAUACCCAUAACUCUGGCAUCGAUAGUUCAUUAAUUAUGCAACCAUUUUACAUAGAAUUUCAGGUUAAAGUUUUUUAUGUACUCCACUUUAUUUCUGCUAAAUAGAUUUGAUUCAGACUUAAAAUAUUUGUUUCAAAUUGCAUUACUCUGGCAGAAAUAUCCCAUGAAUUAUUUCCCUUUUAUUCUUAGAAUGUGGAUUCACUUUCACUCAGUCUCUGUUAUCACUAAAUGGAUUUGACCCAAAGUUCAUUCACAUUAGGGGUAUUAAUCACUCCAGUGAUAGCUCUAGUUUCCUAAGGUAUUUCACUAUCAGGCAUAUAGAAAUAGUCGAUUGCACAGUCUCCUCUGACAGCUGUUGUUCAUUAUAUUAUAUCAAGCUAAUUUAAAAACAUUUAAUGAGAAUUGUCUACAGUAACCGUUAAAUAUGUAGUAAAUAUAGUAUUUUAGUAAAAGAUGGGAAUAGCCUUGCGCGGGAAUAAAACCUUACUUGAAACAUUCGUGACUGUUGUAAAUUCCAGCUACUUGAGUGGUCACAGACCUGUCAUAAAUAUUAGUAUACUAGCUACCUGUCGAAUUUACGAGUGUAUUAGUCAAACGUCGUGAUUUUUAAGAAUGCGUGAUACUGCCCUCACGUUGUUAAAAUCCUACUGUUCAUUUUGACCAAGGCAAAGUUUUUACAUGAAAACAUUACAUGAUUAAACAAAUAUAUAUCUUUUGAAAUGCUACAGUUAAUUAAUUUACUUGAUAAUGACUUUUUUAACUUCAUUAACUUGGGAAUGGGGAUUAUUUUGAACAGUCAAAGAGGGAAAAAAUAAACAACUUAGUCAGGUGCAAUUUGUUUACAGGGGUGGGGGAGGGGGUGCUGGAUAUGUUGAUUUAAUGAAAUUUAGAGUAGUUCAUCGAAUUUACUUUGAGCAUUACGUUGAUUAAUGUAAUUAGACCAGGCAGUGUAAUUGAUUUCAGUAAUUGUUUUUUCAUCUCCAAAUAACCCGACACUUAAAGAAUAUGUGCACAUUGUUUACUUUGUAUCAAAUUUGCUCAUCUUUGUCACGUAUAUUCGAUGGUACAAAUGAAGAAUCCAUGAAACGUAAGUGCCAAGGAUGUAUUUCUAAGUGCUGUCUAAUUUAUCUAUACACUUUUAAAAGACAUUGUGCCAGAGAAAAUGGACUUCGAUUUGUUUUACAGUACAUAGUCUGACCGUUUUAUUCUUCAUGCAGUUAAUGUAAAGUUGUUUGGGUUUUUUUUCGCUUUAAAAAAUAAGUAGCUUUUUAUUUUUUAAGAUUGUUUUAUUAUUCUUUUUUAAACAUUUUUAUCAAACCAGAGUGAAGUGUUUUAAGUCUUUAGAUUGGGAACUCCUUUUCUGUUUUAUGAGAUUAAGUAAAUCAUAAGUGUUAUCUAGAAAAAAUGGGGUUGUUAUUGACAAUCAUUGAAAGUGACCAGUAGUACAAUCUUAUUGACAUAUGACAUAUGAAUUUGACAGGAAUCCUAACAAAUUAUCAAAAUGUUGUGCAUAAAGGGGUAAACUGUUGCAAUGUGUUUUUAAAACAAAGGACAUUUUUCAUGCGUUUCACGCAUAGAUAUCUCUUUUUUCACUCAUCUGUUAUUUUUAGUGUCAUAAAUACAUUUGAUGCCAUACUUUGUUGAAAUGAACAUGUUGUACAUAAAAUAGAUCACUCGUAUUAAAUAAAAACGUCUUUAUAUCGAACUGCACAACUGACACUCCCCUAAAUGUUUAGUAGAUGUAUUUUUACGUUGUAAUGGAACAUACCAACAUUAGGCACUGAGGGUCGAAUUAUUGUGUCGUUUUUAACCAAAUAAAGCUGAGGAGAUCCGUGGUCUUGAGAUUAAGGUGUCGGUUGCUCAACCUGAGGUCAUGGGUUCGAGUCGCACUGGGUCCACGACCACACCCUCUCAAAAGACACCAGAACUGGUUUAUCCAGGAAGCUACUCAGAGUUGUUCAAAUGAGCUUGAAGCUUUCGUCACGGUCGAGCUAAAACGUAUAAACUAAGUAAGAAAAUACCUGUUUUUGAAUUCUAUGCUUUGUUUCAUUUUUCGUUUACCUCCUUUUUGUCUUAUGCCCUGAGCUUGUACUUUUUAUAAACAUUUUCCUUUUAAAAGAUAAAUUGCAUCAUGGUAACUGUUUCUUACGGACAACAGUAUGGGCAUUUUAACAUUACCUUUUAUGACGAUAUAUCUAUUACCGUAAUUCACCGAAGACCAGUCAUUUUGUACUAUAUACGGCAUAUGUUAUUCUUUUGUGAUUUGCCGUUUUGGAAUGCAGAAUUCUUGAUUUGUAUGUACAUUAAAUUGGUUGUGUUGAUUAUAAUUGGAUAAAAUUGAUUUUGUAA